UGACGGGGCACUGAGAAUGAUGCAAAGGAGAAAGGCAAGGAGAAAAAUGAUUUGCAUCUUAGACUGGUGCAAAUUCACACUUUGUGGAAAAUUAACAGGUUCCUCACAAGACACCCUCCCCAGCCACCAUGAGACCGGAUGCUCCUUAGCCUCCCCAGGGAUGUAUCUUACAUGUGCCAACAGUGAGCCUGGGCUGCCUGUCAACCUGAGUCUGUGUCGCUGUGGAGGCACCAUUCUGCAGCCUUGUUCCUCUCUGCAAGCAGGCUGCUACCCACACUGGCUUGGACCUCUGCCCCAGUCAAGCGGGCAGAGCUAUGUCACUAGUCUCAGGGAGUUUCAACGAUGCCUGUUAGAAAGGAAAACCCACCUAAUUAUUGAUCCUUUCUAACUCACUUAGGAAGGAUGCACAACUUCUUAAAUAUCACUGGAGAUGAGAAGUCAACUCUGAUAUGAGUCUGCACAAAUAAACUUUAUGGAAAUAG
rnacentral:lncRNA from 1 species